UUUUGAUCACUGUACUGACCAUAAUCCACAAAGAGCUAAUUAAGUAAUGAUGUAUUGCUGUCAGCUGCAUGAAUGUUAUCUGAUUUAAGUAUUGUAUACUCCUGUAGCUAAAAGAUAUAAAAACCCUGUAACAACAAUAAACUUUGCUUCUUGCGCCACCAGAGCCUAAGCCCGUCUGUCCCAGGCGUCUUGAGCUGGUCUCCGUCAUCUGGUGCCGAAACCCGGGAUACUCGGACUCCAAUGACAAAGGCGUCGCUUCCUCCCACGAGCCGCGGUUGCGUUAUGGGAACAAUGAAAUCAUUAAAAACCGAUAACGGGCCAGCUUAUGUAAGUAACGGUUUUGCAACCUUUUGUCGACAUUUUAAAAUUUACCAUAAAACUGGAAUUCCAUAUAAUCCAGUAGGCCAAGGCAUAGUAGAAAAAUUUAAUCAUUUAUUGAAAACUCAACUAAAGAAAAUAAAAAGAGGGACAUGAGGAAAUAAAGAUACUCCAUCCUCUAUGUUAUCACAUGCA